rnacentral:rRNA from 2 species
UACGGAGGGUGCGAGCGUUGUCCGGAAUCACUGGGCGUAAAGGGCGCGUAGGCGGCCGUGUAAGUCACUUGUGAAAUCCCGGGGCUCAACUCCGGGGCUGCAGGUGAGACUGCGUGGCUAGAGCACGGUAGAGGCGAGUGGAAUUCCCGGUGUAGCGGUGGAAUGCGUAGAUAUCGGGAAGAACACCGGUGGCGAAGGCGGCUCGCUGGGCCGUUGCUGACGCUGAGGCGCGAAAGCGUGGGGAGCAAACAGG